UUCAUGAUCACGUCGAGAUUAUCAAAUUUGCGAGAAACGUUGAAGAAGCUUUGCGCGAGAUAUGUCUCAUUCAAAUCAUCGAAUCGACGGUGAACAUGUGCAUGCUCGAAUACUAUUGUUUGUCGGAAUGGCGGAACAGCGACGCGGUCGCUAUAGUGACGUAUUCCACUUUGUUGAUCUCUUUCACUUUCAAUAUAUUCAUAUUUUGCUACAUAG